rnacentral:rRNA from 1 species
AUGUUCAUAAUUUCUUGCCUACAGAUUGAUUUCAUGCUGCACUCAUCACUCCACUGCAAAGUCCCAAAUGGCGCAAUCGACAUUACGUCGGUUCUUAUUUUCCUCAAUGCCUUGACAGAUGCACCACAUUUUCUCAUGGAGUUCAUACAAGGCAGCCCAACUUCAAUGGUUGUGAUUCUUGAUCUGCUCCCACGGAAAGACCUCGCUCUCCACCCGGAGUACCUCCACAAGUACUAUGAACAUACUCACUUGGACAAGCAACGUGAGAAGAUCGAAGAAUUGCCACAAACCCGUCCAUACCGGUCGCCGUCGCUCUAUGUGCGCAGUGCUGUGUCGGUCACCAUCGACUGCGGGCAAGGAGGGGAGGGUACCUUGGAAGAGAUAGUGUGUGGUCAUCUGGCGUCAGCUGUGAAGGAGGUUCUUCAAACCUGGCUUCAUAGUUGUGCUUGUGACACCUCCAAAAUGGUAGAGGCCGAGAGGGAGAUCAUGAUCAAGAGGGACCAAGCUGUAAGAUUAAAAUCAAUCGAGGUCGACCUAACUGCAAAUUUGCCUAGGAUGUUUGGUCCCGAUGUGUCUGGCCAGAUUAUUGCUGAAAUCCGUCAGGCCUUUGGGGUACAACUACAAGAGGCCUAG